UGCUUCGGGGAUGGUGGCGCUUCUGCUCCUCGUGCGGGAGGAUGAUGCAAAAUCGUGGAUGAAGUUCGGGAACUCCUGGUCUUGACCGACGCCCUCUGCUCCGGUCCCCGACACAGCAACCAGAUCGUGGGUGCCAUCCUGCCCUAAGGUUACAUGCACUACCUGUCUCUCCUUGAUCUGAUCUCUCAAAGUCCCGAUCUAUUUCAGCAAAACUAUCUUCUAUCUAUUUGAUACUCUUUUUUGGUAAACAGUUUUAACCUAUUGUAAUUGCUCUCAUUCUGGAGCGAGGUCACUAUUGACAAGUCAUUGCAGUGCUACUACCGCAUUAAUCUUAGCAGUGAAGCUAUGGUCUGUUCUUUGGUACAACAAUGAAAUGUUAAUAUGCCAUUCUCCUUUAUGCUUUGUGUCAGUGCACUGUGGUAUGACACCAACACUUAUUUGGCACCUACAUUGCAUCGACAAUUUGCCAGCUUACAGUUUGUACCAUCGAGAAUUUGCACGACUUUACACCUGCAGCUGUACCACUAUACUAUAAAUAUGUUUUGAUGUCUAAACUGGUGUUGGUACUGAACCUGAUAGUGUAUUUGGCGUAUCUUUUCUGUAGAAUUAGUACCAGAGUUCUAUUUGUAGUAUUAUUAAUAGUAAAGAGAUAAUUAGACCAUAGAGUCGCUUUUGAUUUGGUUUAUUCCUUCAGAUCAUGCAAUAGAUGUAAGCACACAUUUAAGUACUUUAUCUUAUUACAAAAACUGAACAAAGAUAUACCAGCAAUACGUUUCAUGACGUAGUGUUAUCUGUGCAAGAAAAUUGCUUGAAUGAUUAUUAAUCAAUAUAAGCAAUCUAUCAUGUAGGUUUUGUUCGAUCCUACACUUAAAGAAAAUCAUACUGAAGAUCUGAGCUUAAGUGUUCCAACAGCUGAAGCACCAGCUCAAGAUGAAAGGAUCCUCUUAAUAUGAUUGUAGGUCCAUUCCUGUAAAGUGCAGUUAGAAUAUGGAAUCCACCUGGAACUUGGUUUUAAAAACAGAAAGCAUAUGGAAUUUUGAGGUUUCUGCUUUCUAUGUGAGUAUCUUGGUGCAUGCUUGUUUCUGAAUAAAAUGCAGAGGUCAUGAACAAAUUAAAACAUGCUCUCUGAUGGGCAAGGGUAGGUUUAUUUUUAGUUGAAGUGGUAUCAGUUGUAUACUUAUAUACACGCCAUUUGAAAAAUAGUAUGUAUCUCCUUGCAAACUACUACGUAUUAUUUAAAUGUUUUACAUAAGACUGUCCGUCCAGAUACAAUAACUAUUUAGUAUUUUAAUAACUUGAAUUGCACGGCUUGAUCGCUCUGCUUGGGUCUUCUCUUAUGUAUGAGUCACCAUGUGCGGGUUAAAUAAGUGCCCCAGCUUCGGUGAUGCACGGGCGAGGCAACACGAUUUGGUGCAGUGGCCCUCCUUCCAAGAAAUCAAGUUUUUACGUUCAGAUUUUAGAGCUCUUGAGUUUCAGCUUAGUUCAAGGAUAUAAAAGCAUACUCCUUAUGGAUUCAACGAGGAAGACCAUUAGCCACCACCUUUUUAGAAUUGGAUGGUGUGGUGCACCUUCAUCCUGCUGUCCAAUUUCUUAGCUUAUUUGCUUUAAAUGUACUACAGUAUAUAGCAGUAUAAGGAUCCAAUCUUGUGACGCCUCUCCAUUUGCACCAUCGUCAAAAGUUGCACAUGAGUUGAUUCAGACUUUCAGAGUUUUCAUAGAACACCUAGAGUUAAUCAGCCUGAAGGUAUAUCAGAUCCUAUGGAAAGGGGAUCCGGUUCAGAUUUGUCACUACUGUGUGUUGUUGGAUAGCCAUGGUGUGUAUUAGUUUGUUUUUACCACAGUUCGGUUCUUGGUAGUUAGGAUAUCAGGUGUAUACAUUACUUUUCUUAUGAAUUUUUUCUCUUUUAGUGCACUAUCUAUCUAUCUAUCUAUCUAUCUAUCUAUCUAUCUAUCUAAGUUUUCAAAGAAAUUGAUGGCGGUGGCUCAGAGGCGUCGUGGUGAAUGGUGAAGCUUCUAAAAUGGAUGGAAGAGAGGUGGUGACUUGCGGCUGGGAGACGUACAUAUUUGAGGAGAUACGAUUCAUAAGGUUUCAUAUUAACAAAAAAUGAUGAUCUUUGUAAAGUAAUCCGAACAUUUUGUUGAUUCUGGGACAAUUUUAUUCUCCAAUAUGAAUCCGUAAGAAAAGAUAUGACAAUACAUUUGUGCAAAUUGAUAAUGUAAGCUCAUCUCGGAACUUUAUUCUUUUUCUAAGAUUGAUUUACUUGGUGGUGCUAGCUUCCAUUCUGUCAAAACAGGACAUGUGUGCUAUUUCUGAAAAAGGAAGCUUCUCUGUUGGCUGGCAUCCCUGAUGGUGCCUUUAGAUAUGUAGGAAAAGAAAUGGUAUCUCAUAAUUCACUGGAUGUAGACCAGUAGGGUCAAUUACAAAUUGUUGGCUGUAAAUUACUUUCAGUUUCUAGCUUUCAUAAAAAAAUUAGACAUGUACUGUUUAAUUAAAAUUGUGUGAGUAUGUUGUGGUUGAUGGUGGUCCUAUGUGCUGGUUCAAAUUAUCAUGUUGGAUAAUAUUGCUUUUACUAGCAGUUGCAGUGCUCUUAUUAUUAUUUUUCACAAAUAUCAUCAUGUUUUGCUAUUGAUGUAAUGCUAUAUUCUUUGACUGAAAUCAAACCCUUUAGUUGCUAUUUUGGUGCUUUUAUUAUUGUGUGUGUAUUCAAUAAUGGCUUCAGUUUCAAUUAAAAUCGUUAACUGGACUGCCAUGAUUGCGGUGGCGUAUUAUUCGGCAAAAAGUAUGUUGCCUUUUAAUAUUUU
rnacentral:lncRNA from 1 species